GAAGUUCGUCACGUCGCAGUUGUCUCGGCCCGGCGGAUGUGUGUCGCCGCUUAGGUGACGCUGGGAAGUGCUUGCAGCCCCCGCCGCUGCCUUUUGGUUGAAGCACUAUGGAGGGAGAGAGGAAGAACAACAACAAACGGUGGUAUUUCACUCGGGAGCAGCUGGAAAAUAGCCCGUCGCGUCGUUUUGGCGUGGACUCAGAUAAAGAACUAUCUUAUCGCCAGCAGGCGGCCAAUCUACUCCAGGACAUGGGACAACGUCUUAACGUAUCUCAACUGACUAUCAAUACCGCUAUAGUAUACAUGCACCGGUUCUACAUGGUCCAGUCUUUUACUCAGUUCCAUCGAUAUUCUAUGGCUCCAGCAGCCUUGUUUCUAGCAGCAAAAGUAGAAGAACAGCCAAAAAAACUGGAACAUGUCAUCAAGGUAGCACAUACUUGCCUCCAUCCCCAGGAAUCACUUCCUGAUACAAGGAGUGAGGCCUACCUACAGCAAGUUCAAGAUCUGGUGAUUUUAGAGAGUAUAAUUUUGCAGACCCUAGGGUUUGAAUUAACAAUUGAUCACCCACAUACACAUGUGGUAAAGUGCACACAGCUUGUUCGAGCAAGCAAGGACUUAGCACAGACCUCUUACUUCAUGGCAACCAACAGCCUGCAUUUGACCACAUUUAGCCUGCAGUACACACCUCCUGUGGUGGCCUGUGUCUGCAUCCAUCUGGCUUGCAAGUGGUCCAACUGGGAGAUCCCAGUCUCAACUGACGGGAAGCACUGGUGGGAGUAUGUUGACGCCACCGUGACCUUGGAACUUUUAGAUGAGUUGACACAUGAAUUUCUACAGAUUCUGGAGAAAACUCCUAGCAGGCUGAAACGCAUUAGAAACUGGAGGGCAUACCAGGCUGCCAUGAAAACUAAACCAGAUGACCGAGGAGCAGAUGAGAAUACAUCGGAGCAGACAAUCCUCAAUAUGAUUUCUCAGACCUCUUCAGACUCAACUAUUGCAGGCUUAAUGAGCAUGUCAACUACUUCUACUACAAGUGCAGUGCCUUCCCUUCCUGUUUCUGAAGAGUCCUCCAGCAGUCUAAGUAAUGUGGAUAUGUUGCAAGGCGAGCGAUGGCUGUCUUCCCAACCUCCCUUUAAACUAGAAUCUUCUCAGGGUCAUCGGACGAGUGAGAAUUUAGCACUUAUUGGAGUUGAUCAUUCCUUGCAACAUGAUGGUUCAAAUGCAUUUGUUUCCCAGAAGCAGACUGGUAAGAGCGUACCAUCGGCUAAAGUUUCACUUAAAGAAUACCGUGCAAAGCAUGCAGAGGAGUUGGCAGCUCAGAAGAGACAGCUGGAGAAUAUGGAGGCCAAUGUAAAGUCACAGUAUGCAUAUGCUGCCCAGAAUCUCCUGUCACACCAUGACAGUCAUUCUUCAGUUAUUCUGAAGAUGCCCAUUGAAGGCUCAGAAAAUCCUGAACGCCCUUUUCUGGAAAAGGCUGACAAGUCAGCUCUGAAAAUGAGACUCCCGGUGGCUGGUGGAGAUAAAGCAGCCUCAAAACCAGAGGAGAUAAAAAUGCGCAUUAAAGUCCACUCUACAGCUGAUAAGCACAAUUCUGUAGAAGACAAUAUCACCAAGAGCCGGGAGCACAAAGAAAAGCACAAGCCUCAUCCAUCCAAUCACCACCACCAUCAUAAUCACCAUUCACACAAGCACUCUCACUUACAGCUUCCCGUUGGUACUGUGAACAAACGGCCAAGUGAUCCAAAACAUAGCAGCCAGAGCAGCAGCACCUUAGCACACAAAACCUAUAGCUUGUCUAGUACUUUGCCUUCUUCGAGCUCUGCACGUAAGAGGGGUCCCCCAGAAGAGACUGGGACAGCAGUGUUUGAUCAUCCAGCCAAGAUUGCCAAGAGUACUAAAUCCUCUUCCUUGAAUUUCCCCUUCCCACCUCUUCCUACAAUGACCCAGUUGCCUGGGCAUAGCUCAGACACAAGUGGCCUGCCCUUUUCACAGCCUAGCUGUAAAACUCGAGUUCCUCAUAUGAAACUGGAUAAAGGCCCUCCUGGGGCUAAUGGUCACAACACAACUCAGUCAAUAGAUUAUCAAGAUACUGUGAAUAUGCUUCACUCCCUGCUCAGUGCCCAAGGUGUUCAGCCCACUCAGCCCCCUGCAUUUGAAUUUGUUCAUUCUUAUGGUGAAUAUAUGAAUCCACGAGCUGGAGGAAUCUCCUCCAGAUCAUCCAAUACAGACAAACCUCGACCACCACCCCUCCCAUCAGAACCACCUCCACCACUUCCACCUCUUCCUAAGUGAAAAAAAAAAGGCAGAAACUUCAAAAACAAAAACUUUUGUUUUUGGGUAUUUUUGUUUUUAUUUUGACUACUGAUACUGGACUACGAAAAUUACAUCCCUUAUGAAAUAUGUCACCCUUGGACUAAAGAGUAAAUUGAUACUGAGACAGGUGGGAGGGUGGUGGAGGGCCUCAGUUAUAUCUGCUGCCUCAUACAUCUAUUUUCUUAUAGUUUGUACUGGUAUCAGAGAGGUAGGAUUAUGUUGAAGCUGUGAAGGAUUAAGAACACUCUGUUCUUGGCCUCUCCUCAUCUGAAUGGGGUUGAUUGGAGUAGUUAUCUUCCCUCUUCUUGUUGGAACUGAAACAAACAUGGGGGUGAUCAAGCAGUUGUGUUUAACAUAUCAGAAGAGAGGAAGUAUUUAAACGCCAGAUCUUUAAGAGACUUAAAAAAUAAUUUAAAGAAAAUGGAGGUGGGAUUGAGGAAGAAGCUUGUAGAGCAAGGCUGGCUACUGCCCUACAGAAUGGGCCUUUUCGGUUGGGCUUUGGGAAAGCUCAGGUCUCUAAGGGAAGAAGGGUGUGCCUUGCUUUGCAUGCCCUGUCUGUCGGAGACCAGACCAUGUGUGGUAACAGGUUUGGGAAAAGCCAUGCAGUAAUGAUACUAAAGACAAUGAAAUUGUGAUUUGGGAUUCUGAAGACUUUGCAUUUUAAGUUACAUUAUGAAUGUAAUUCUUGCUUUUUAUCUGUCUAAUGCAAAACAACUGCAUACUUGUGUUUGCAGCCUGUAUGACUUCAGAGAUGAGUGUGAAUUUAACAGCGCUGGUGUAAUGAGUGAGCAAUCCUAGCCAACAGACACUGUUGUGUUUAGAUUGUUUCUUUUGGGUGGCUUUUGAUUCUAGACAGAAAUUCUAAAAAGUUUUGUUUAAAAAAAGUAGAUCAGGAAUCCUUUUAUUGGGCUUGAUUAGUCCAGAUAUUAGGGGAUAUUUUUUGAUAAAGGAAGUCUUUGAAGAGAUAAUGGCUAGGAAAACAUUCUACGCCAAGCUGUCUAACUGAAAAUGCUUUCUAGCUAUUUGGUUCGUUGCAUGAAAAGAAAAAAUAAAUAAAAAAUAUAUAUAUAUACACACACAUAUGUGUAUACACACACGUACGUACGUGUGUGUGUGUGUGUGUACAUUUUUUUAUGCUAUGGAAAAGAUGGUGCUAUGAAAUAAUUUGUCUCUUGUUUUAAUUAGUGAAGUUUCUGUCAUGCCAAGUAGUCUUUAGGGAGAGGUAAGAUUCUUUUCACUGAAAGUCAUAGGGAAACAGAAGCUGUAUGGUGCUGCUUGCCAGGAACAGACUAGGAAAAACACUGAGGCAGUUACUAUUGAUGUGAUGGCCCAGUAGAGAAGAAUGUAUAGGAGGACUAUAUCUUAUGGCAAUUUUGUGGUUCUUAAUCUGCAUGUUUGAAUUGUCCGGAGUGCCUGCCAUUGCUGAGCAAAACCAGGAGCUCCUUCUUGCUAAUCUAUAAGCCAGUGAUAUUUUUUGGUAUGCAACUUUUAAAGUGACAUUUUCUUCUUGGUAUUUCCUGUAUUGUGCAAGAUAGAUGUGUCAUCAUGAUUGCUAAAUUUAGGCUUGGUAUUUGUUUAGAUUUUGUUUCCCAUCCUGACCUUUCCAAAAGGGAAUGUGCCAUUUAGUUUGCUUCUGUAUUUGUGGGAUUGAUAAUAAUUGAUUUGAGAAAAUGUUCUGGGUUUUAAUUCUAAUUAAUGUCAUGUAUUUUCUAAUCACAUGCACUCCCUUACCACACAGUCUGUCAUAUUUGCUGUUAUCGUGGUUCUUCAUGGUAAUACUGUAGUUAAAUUUCCUAGAACUCUGUCAGUAGUGAACUAGAAAAAAGUGCUUACUAGAGUCUAAAGAGCUACGUCCCACUAUAGUCUGGUCUUUCUGCUGUAGAUCAACAUUGAAUGUGGUUUGUUUAUAGACUUUUCCUGUAUUAUUUCCUCCUGGUAUUGUCUACAGUGCCUAGGUCCUGAACCUUGUUGUGGGCUCAGCAUGAACUGCUGCAUUACUUUUGGGUUAGCAGAUGCACCUGCCAGCUAGCAUGCAUAUUGUCCAGUUUCUGUAUAAAUAAGGCUUUUAAGCCAGUAUGUGUGUCUCCCACCUUCAGACCUUCAAAGGUUGAGAAGUAGUAUUUAUAUAGCAAGUCAGCUUUGUAAACACUGCUCUUUGUUUUUUUCUUUUAAUCAAUCUAAACUGUCAAGAAUAAGUGACAGUGGUAAGCAGGCUUGGAGCCUCAACUUCUGUAAAUCUCAUUCCUAAAGUGUUGCUUGACUCUUAUGUUGGCAGAAAUAAAUACCUGUGGAUUGUCUUUAGGGCUUUUAAUCAUACCUGUGUUGUUGGCUAAAAUUUGGUGAAUCAUUAACUAAAGCCAGUGUGGUCUUCUGAAGUAUUUAGUUAUGCCUUUUGGGUUUAGAAAAUAGCUAAAUAUUAGUCUACUUUUCUCAUUCAUGAGUCAUUGUGUUUUGUAUCUGAGACCCUCAGCAUUCUUCCCUUCUAGUAAACGAUUUUAGUGUUUUGGUUUAGUGUAUCCCACAUAUUUCUAUAUUGUUAGGUUCACCGGCAGUGAUAGAAAAAUUGAAAUCUCCAAUUGCAAACAGCAGUAGAUUUAAGUAUUAAAACAAAAUCAUGGUAACAUCACUGCUGGGUUUCCUGAAGCCUUUGCAACCUAAUUCCUCAUUACUUCUCACACCUUGCUUCUAGACAAAGGCAAUUGGAGGGGUCCUAUCUAUCCUAGUAUGGUUGGAAUCUAAAUAUAUACGUUUCCAUUAUUUUGGGAACUGAUUAUUUUUUUAAAGAUUUUUUUUCUUUUGUUGAUGAGUUAUUUUGAUACUCAUGCUAGGAAAAGUGAAAAACUAAGACAUCUUGAGAUUGGAAUGCCUAUUUUAUUCUCCUGGGUUUGGGAGAAUUUAAGCAGUCUAUGCAAUCCAUCAGUUAGUGAGAAAUAGCUUCCCAACAUCCCCCCACUAAGCUUUCAAGGACUCAUACCUCCCCAAAUGCAUUGGCGUUGAUUGAGUUUUGGAUCUUGAUGGUUUAGGAAGCAUUCUUGUUGCACCAAGUUGUCAUUUAUUUCUUCCUCCUCAGUGGAUGUAAGUUUGAAAGAAGAAUGAUACUGUAAUCUUACUUGAUGGAGUGGUCUAAAUUCAGAAUUUGUUUUCUAAGUGGGUGAACUCUGCGUUUUAACAUUUCAAAAGUUUUUAACAUGAACUUGGCAAUGGAAAGGAGAGGGAAAGAACCAUUGUCUGCUUUUUCCCUUUAAGAGUGAGUAUUCCUGGCGUAUGAAGAGAAACUCACUGGUUUGUGUUGCCACGCUUAUUGUGGAGAGGGAUGCUUGACAGCAUGUUAAUUGAAGCCAGAGCAAGUAUGUCUCAUCAGGUGAUCUGGAAAUGCCAGUGGGAGUGGAGGAAGUGCUUAGCUGAUGGCUGUAAUGAAAUAACUUAGAAUAGAAGUGCUGUCUGACCUAAAAAUGCAAAGAAAAUAGUUAGUGUAGGAGUAACUUAGGGUUCUGACCUCGGAACUGACCUAUAUUACCUUACUUUCCACACAUAAAACUGUCCAUUUUCUUAUCAGACCAAAGAACAAAAAGAAAAAGUAAAAUGAGAAAUAAAGUAACACACUUUACCAGUUUAUGUCACUUGUCACUCAGGUACAAUUUUGUGGUGAGCUUUUUUUUUUUUUUUUUUUUUUUUGUCUGAUUUUUGUACUGCUCAGCAUAUUAUUCUGCUGUUGCCUCUGUCCUCCGUGGGGCACCUCAGUUUUGGGUGCUACUUCUGGGAUCUCUACUGCUGUUAGGUGAAUGACGAUAGGAUGUAAGUGACCAUUAUCAUAAGGGCUCUUUGUAAAAAAAACUUUAAAAACUCAAAAAAAAAAAUUUAAAGAAGGAUAUUGUAUACAUUUUAUAGUCUGGCUAUCAGUUUGAUAUCUUGCUGUCAAGUAUGUUUCUCAAUCUGUAUUUAUCCAUCCCAUCAAUAAACGUUAAUGAUGAAA